rnacentral:rRNA from 1 species
AGUGAACGCUGGCGGUAGGCCUAACACAUGCAAGUCGAACGGCAGCACAGUAAGAGCUUGCUCUUACGGGUGGCGAGUGGCGGACGGGUGAGGAAUACAUCGGAAUCUACUUUUUCGUGGGGGAUAACGUAGGGAAACUUACGCUAAUACCGCAUACGACCUACGGGUGAAAGCAGGGGAUCUUCGGACCUUGCGCGAUUGAAUGAGCCGAUGUCGGAUUAGCUAGUUGGCGGGGUAAAGGCCCACCAAGGCGACGAUCCGUAGCUGGUCUGAGAGGAUGAUCAGCCACACUGGAACUGAGACACGGUCCAGACUCCUACGGGAGGCAGCAGUGGGGAAUAUUGGACAAUGGGGGAAAGCCUGAUCCAGCCAUACCGCGUGGGUGAAGAAGGACUUCGGGUUGUAAAGCCAUUUUGUUGGGAAAGAAAAGCAGCAGGUUAAUACCCCGCUGUUAUGACGGUACCCAAAGAAUAAGCACCGGCUAACUUCGUG